rnacentral:lncRNA from 1 species
AUUUUAAACUUACCUGCUGUGACCUUCAGACAUUUGUUUUAUUUCUUGCUCUCUUAUUAAUACUUGAUAUUCAUUCUUCAGAGUCCAGACUCUUCAUGCAACAGUGAGUCCUGCAGGUACUCUCAGAACAAUUUUGUUGUUACAAGAAGACUGAUUAGAGACUUUUGAGUUAAAUAGAGGUUUUUACUUUCAAGUGUCAUAGUGCCAGACUUGUAACUCAAGCUAACAGCAGAAUAUACAGAGGAUAUUCAAUACACAGAAACUCAAGCACCUGAACAUUAUCAGCCAGCACUGUACAGCCAGAGAAUUCUUAUGAAGUUUAACCUUGCACAAAUGCUAACAACACACUGAAAUAAUGCAUUUUAGUGAACAAGAAUACAUAGGUCCAGAUUACCAACUCAGGUCAGCAUCUUUCCCCUUUCUGCUUCUCAGAGGACAGCCGUUCUUUGAAUUCUAUCCAGAAAAUAGGGAGCAUUAAUCUGCCACCUUGAAUAUAUACUUAAUAACUUAGCACAGAUUUGAGACGUGUCCAUUUAGCGUCUAGAUAAGCUCUCAAUCUAGAAAGAAACUAACAGAAGUCAACGAAAUCCUGAUGACCUACAACUCACUGAAAUAAUUUAACACCUUUACAAGAAGAAUGGUUACAGUAUGGCUACGAGCUGUACAUUCCACCUGAAGCUCAAAUGUUACUGCCAGCGUUCCUGGUAUGCUUAUCCCUCCCUCCUGCACUACCCAUUGAUGCGGUAGUUCACGUGGAUUUCAGGUUUGAUGUCACACACUAGAGACAACAGCUGGGAGAGGACCACCUCACGGUUCUUCUGGAAGUUCUGCUGGAUUACACUCAUCUUUUCCUGGGUCUCCUUCUCAACUUCAGUAGUACAGCUGCCAUGAGAUCCAAGUGCCGCUGCUUCCUUGGCUUUGAAUUCCUUCUCCCUCUGCAGGCGGUACUGCUCAAUCUCCGCCUGGGCUUCUUCUUUUGCCUGCUUCAGCCUCCGAUUCUUUCGCUUGCGGGCCUCGGCCACCUUCUCGGCAGCGCGCUUCUCGGCCUGCAGCAGCUGCUGGAUGCCUUGCGACUGGCUCGCCAUGGCGACCCUCCACUCCCAAGCCGACGUCUG